rnacentral:piRNA from 1 species
AUGUAAGACCGGGAAAGAGGAGC